rnacentral:rRNA from 1 species
UACGGAGGGGGCAAGCGUUAUCCGGAUUUACUGGGUUUAAAGGGUGCGUAGGUGGGUUGGGAAGUCAGUGGUGAAAUACUUUCGCUUAACGAAGGAACUGCCAUUGAUACUAUCAAUCUUGAAUGUAGUGGAGGUAGGCGGAAUGCGUCAUGUAGCGGUGAAAUGCUUAGAUAUGACGCAGAACACCAAUUGCGAAGGCAGCUUGCUACACUACUAUUGACACUGAGGCACGAAAGCGUGGGGAUCAAACAGG